AACAGGAUGGUGUAAAAAGGCACAUAAAGUUUUGAUCUUUAAGGGAGUUUUUCGUAAAAUUUCUUGUUU
rnacentral:tRNA from 1 species